rnacentral:misc_RNA from 1 species
GAACUGCGAUAAGUAAUGUGAAUUGCAGAAUUCAGUGAAUCAUCGAGUCUUUGAACGCACAUUGCGCCCCCUGGCAUUCCGGGGGGCAUGCCUGUCCGAGCGUCAUUGCUGCCCUUCAAGCCCGGCCUGUGUGUUGGGUCGUCGUCCCCUCCGGGGGACGGGCCCGAAAGGCAGCGGCGGCACCGCGUCCGGUCCUCGAGCGUAUGGGGCUUUGUCACCCGCUCGAUAAGGACCGGCCGGGCGCCAGCCGGCGUCUCCAACCUUUUUUUCUCAGGUUGACCUCGGAUCAGGUAGGGAUACCCGCUGAACUUAAGC